AGGACGAACGCUGGCGGCGUGCUUAACACAUGCAAGUCACGGGGGCUUCGUAAGGAGCAACCGGCGAACGGGUGCGUAACACGUGAGCGACCUGCCAUACCUGUGGGGGAUAGCCGGCCCAACGGCCGGGUAAUACCGCAUACGAUCUUUCGGGCGCCUGCUUGGGAGACGAAAGCUGGGGGGUAACCUUUGGCGCAGGAUGAGGGGCUCGCGGCCUAUCAGCUAGUUGGCGGGGUAACGGCCCACCAAGGCGACGACGGGUAGCUGGUCUGAGAGGAUGGCCAGCCACAUUGGGACUGAGAGACGGCCCAGACUCCUACGGGAGGCAGCAGUGGGGAAUCUUGCGCAAUGGCCGGAAGGCUGACGCAGCGACGCCGCGUGUGGGAGACGCCCUUCGGGGUGUAACCACUGUUGCCCGGGACGAAAUCUCCUUUGGGGAGACUGACGGUACCGGGUGAGGAAGCACCGGCUAACGUCCGUGCCAGCAGCCGCGGUAA
rnacentral:rRNA from 1 species